UACGGAGGGUGCGAGCGUUGUCCGGAAUCACUGGGCGUAAAGGGCGCGUAGGUGGCGCAGGAAGUCAACGGUGAAAGUUCGGGGCUCAACCCUGAAUCGGCCGUCGAUACUCCUGGGCUCGAGCACUGUAGAGGCAGGAUGGAAUUCCGGGUGUAGCGGUGGAAUACGUAGGAGAUCCGGAAGAACACCGGUGGCGAAGGCGGGAUCU
rnacentral:rRNA from 1 species